rnacentral:lncRNA from 1 species
UUCAAAAUACAUCCGUUAUCCAAUUCUUACGUCAGGAUCCAAAAGAUACAUCAAUUCCCAAAUAUAUACAAUAGCCAAAAUGUCUAGUCAAUUACAAUUGAAACCCUAAUACAAAAGUACAUCCAAAGGGUUCCAACGAGUUUUACUCCAUCCAUUCCUGUUAAGGAAAACAAAUCUACGGGGUGAGCGAAACGCUCGUGAGACCAAGAAAACACACAUGCAAGCACGUUGUCCAAAUAACAAUCCCAAUAUUCAAGUAAUUUACAAUUCGAGCGAGAAAAAUAAACAGAAACAAUUCAAGGAUAUAGGAGCUCUCAGGAGCUAUUUUCCUCUUGCUUCGCCACGGCUCGAUCCGAUAUCCCCUCGUGAUGACACUCCGUUAUCCUGGUGGGUAUUUUAUCCGUAGAAACUUCACUUAUUACUUCUUCCGACCAACAUUCCACCCUCUCGGAUCCGAAACCAAACACGCACGAAAAAGGCGAUACUCGUCGAGUAUGCCACACGAGAUCUCAAGAGAUCAAGUUUUGAUUUUUGAACACGCACGGAAAGGGCGAUACUCCACGAGUAUGCCGAACAAGAUCUCAAAAGAUCAAGUUGUGUUUUGUUACUCUCUUGGUUUAUCAAACUUCUCGACCAAGCCCAUGCCGGCUCGAGUUGUAAGAUUGGUUAAGAGAAUUGGG